CCUACGGGAGGCAGCAGUGAGGAAUAUUGGUCAAUGGGCGCGAGCCUGAACCAGCCAAGUCGCGUGAGGGAAGACGGUCCUAUGGAUUGUAAACCUCUUUUGUCGGGGAGCAAAAGACGCCACGCGUGGCGUUCCGAGAGUACCCGAAGAAAAAGCAUCGGCUAACUCCGUGCCAGCAGCCGCGGUAAUACGGAGGAUGCGAGCGUUAUCCGGAUUUAUUGGGUUUAAAGGGUGCGCAGGCGGAAGAUCAAGUCAGCGGUAAAAUUUAGAGGCUCAACCUCUUCGAGCCGUUGAAACUGGUUGUGUUGGGUGCGCGAGAAGUAUGGGGGAUGCGUGGUGGAGCGGUGGAAUGGAUAGAUA
rnacentral:rRNA from 1 species